rnacentral:lncRNA from 12 species
GCAGUACUCUGCCAUAAAAUAAGAGUGGUAUUCGAGAUUGAGCUCAAAUAAGCCCUGGAGGCCUAAGUCAGCUACAUGAAGUAGCCCAAAUGCCAAUGAUUGCUUUCCCUAGCCUGUACCUAUGCCUUGUGAGGAGUAGCCUGUCACCAGGGGACACCAUCGUUUCCCUCCAGUUCCAGGAAAAGGCUCUGCUAUUGAAAGAAUGUGAAGAAGCCCAGGUGUGGGGGCCCACUGUGUGCUGUCCUUGUGCUAGACUUUGGUAUAUAACUGACCCUGUAUUUUCCUCAAGAUGUCCUGGGAUGGGCACAAGACCAUGGCUGUCUUACAGAUGUCAACACUGGUGCUCAUUUAGUCCCAUACCCAAGGUAAUACAGAAAGAAGCAUGCAGCACCAGUAUUAGAAGUCCUAUACAUCGAACCACAAAGCUUGAUUUUAAAGAAGAAAAGAAGGGAUGGGAGUAG